CUGAGCACAAACUGAAUGCUGAGCUGAGCUGAGCCUGUCAUGCAGCUCAGAGGCAGGAGGAGCAUGAAGAAGCGUGGGGGAGAGACCUGACAGGGGAUUCCAGAGAUCACACUCAGGAGCUGGGAUCCUACAGAGGAAGCGCUGCAAGUGGAGGGGCUGUACCAUGUGAUCCUGCACUCGGGCUGCUCAGCGUGUGGUCACCAUAGCAACCCAGGACAUCGUCAACCCGGAAGUCCAUGGUGAGACACAAGCGUCUCAGUUGCUGUGGAUCCCGGUGGUGGCGAACAGGAAAUACGUCAUGUGACAUGACGUGGAACCUGUGAGCGCUUGGGAAGUGACGGUGGGAUUGGCUGUCUGGCGCGGGUAUUUCAAGUGGCCUUUGAAAGAAACAUACUGGGAUUUGUGGACAUCCUGGAAGCAAUAAGGGAACAAGAUGAAGAGAAGCCGACACCAGGGAGAUUAGUUUCCAAGAAUGUCAUCGGUUAUUGAUUUUUUUUGGGGAUGUGCUAUGAUGGUGGAUAAUGGACUAACCACCUUUGAAAGAAACAUACUGGGAUUUGUGGACAUCCUGGAAGCAAUAAGGGAACAAGAUGAAGAGAAGCCGACACCAGGGAGAUUAGUGUGGGUGUGGCCACGCUGGUGUGGGUGAUAACAUCAACUGCUGCCUAAUCCUAGUCAGUGGGGGGUGCUGUUAUACUGAGGUCCAUGGUGAGGUCAGCUGUGAUCACGCGAUAAUCCUCUAGGAGAGGCCGGCAGACUGGA